rnacentral:rRNA from 1 species
UACAGAGGGUGCAAGCGUUAAUCGGAAUUACUGGGCGUAAAGCGAGCGUAGGUGGCUUGAUAAGUCAGAUGUGAAAGCCCCGGGCUUAACCUGGGAGCGGCAUCUGAUACUGUUAGGCUAGAGUAGGUGAGAGGAAGGUAGAAUUCCAGGUGUAGCGGUGAAAUGCGUAGAGAUCUGGAGGAAUACCGAUGGCGAAGGCAGCCUUCUGGCAUCAUACUGACACUGAGGUUCGAAAGCGUGGGUAGCAAACAGG